CAGCCGCCGCGGUAAUACGUAGGGUGCAAGCGUUAAUCGGAAUUACUGGGCGUAAAGCGUGCGCAGGCGGUUAUAUAAGUCAGAUGUGAAAUCCCCGGGCUCAACCUGGGAACUGCAUUUGAGACUGUAUGGCUAGAGUGUGUCAGAGGGGGGUAGAAUUCUACGUGUAGCAGUGAAAUGCGUAGAUAUGUGGAGGAAUACCGAUGGCGAAGGCAGCCCCCUGGGAUAACACUGACGCUCAUGCACGAAAGCGUGGGGAGCAAACAGGAUUAGAUACCCCUGUAGUCCCUGUCUCUUAUAC
rnacentral:rRNA from 1 species